GAAGACAGAAUUAUGGACAUAUUUUUUGCUAUUUGUGUACUGCUUCUGGAGGUAGAUGCACUUCCUUAAACUUGGUAUCUCACUGGCUGUUCCGGGAACAGGGAAGUUUUAAGUGGUUUGAAGAGAUGCAAUUUACAAGUAUGCUGAUAUCAUGAA
rnacentral:lncRNA from 12 species